rnacentral:rRNA from 1 species
UACGUAGGGUGCGAGCGUUGUCCGGAAUUAUUGGGCGUAAAGGGCUCGUAGGCGGUUUGUCGCGUCGGGAGUGAAAACCAGGUGCUUAACACCCGGCUUGCUUUCGAUACGGGCAGACUAGAGGUAUGCAGGGGAGAACGGAAUUCCUGGUGUAGCGGUGAAAUGCGCAGAUAUCAGGAGGAACACCGGUGGCGAAGGCGGUUCUCUGGGCAUGACCUGACGCUGAGGAGCGAAAGUGUGGGGAGCGAACAGG